rnacentral:lncRNA from 1 species
GAAUUCUACAAGCUUUGUUGCACCUUUCAGUUCACUCAUAUUGCAGAAUAAAAUGUGCAUCUUAAUAAUUGAACUUCUACUGAAUGUCUCCAGUCUUGAUUUUAAAAACUACUGGUGGGGCUAAGAUGUGUUUUGUGUUUUUCUAAAUUUUUUUUAACGUUUAUUCAUUUUUUUUUUUUUUGAUAGAGACAGAGCGUGACUGGGGGAGGGGCAGAGAGAGAGGGAGACACCGAAUCCAAAGCAGGCUCCAGGCCCCGAACUGACAGCACAGAGCUUGACCCUGGGCUCAAACUCACGGACCUGAGCCGAAGUCGGACGGCCAACCGACUGAGCCACCCGGGCACCCAAGAUGUGUUUUUAUCUACUGUGAAGGAUGAAGAUUUGUUUCUGAGGCAAGGUUAGCUAAUGCAUCUAUUUCUCAUGCUUGGCUCUAUUCAUAGAUUCCUACCACAGAUAUUGCCUUGGAAUUGGUCUCUCUUUAGCUGAAAAUAUCUUUGAACUAAUAGAAAAACAAUGGCUUUGAGGAGAAGAUGAAUUUUUUUUUCUCUUAACGGGAAUGGUUUUUUGUCAUCCAGAAGUCUCAGUGUGACAGCUCUUUUUGUGCUAACCCCCAAGUCCAGGGAUAUUGACAUGAGUAAGUGGUAAAUCUUAUUAAUUUGGAGGGAUAUGUGAAGGCUUAAUGAUAUUUUCUUGAAACCCUUUUCCUGGAAGAAUGAGGGGAGAACUUAUCAAAAAGAACUUUAAGGAGUGAAUGGAAAUAGACCACCUGAGCCAGGCUGAUCAUUCAGUGGGGUCAGAGCUUAUCAGUUGUUGCUCCUAUGUAAAUUUUCUGAUAGUUUGAAGCAGAUCAUCACCUAAGAAAUUGAAAUGGAAUGAGGAGCUCACCAGGAAUCAGAG